UAAGCAUAUUCUAUUAAGCGGAAGAAAAGAAAACCAACAGGAGAUUGCCCCAGUAACGGCGAGUGAAGCGGCAACAGCUCAAAUUUGAAAUCUGGCUCUAGGGCCCGAGUUGUAAUUUGUAGAGGAUGCUUUUGGCGAGGUUCCUUCUGAGUUCCCUGGAACGGGACGCCGGAGAGGGUGAGAGCCCCGUACGGUCGGAUACCAAGCCUCUGUAAAGCUCCUUCGACGAGUCGAGUAGUUUGGGAAUGCUGCUCAAAAUGGGAGGUAAAUUUCUUCUAAAGCUAAAUACUGGCCAGAGACCGAUAGCGCACAAGUAGAGUGAUCGAAAGAUGAAAAGCACUUUGAAAAGAGGGUUAAAUAGCACGUGAAAUUGUUGAAAGGGAAGCGCUUAUGAUCAGACUUGCGCCUGGUAAAUCAUCUAGCGUUCUCGCUAGUGCACUUUGCCGGCUCAGGCCAGCAUCAGUUUGCCGUCGGGGACAAAAGCUUCGGGAACGUAGCUCUCUUCGGGGAGUGUUAUAGCCCGCUGCAUAAUACCCUUCGGCGGACUGAGGUUCGCGCUCCGCAAGGAUGCUGGCAUAAUGGUCAUCAGCGACCCGUCUUGAAACACGGACCAAGGAGUCAACCUUAUGUGCGAGUGUUUGGGUGUUAAACCCCUACGCGUAAUGAAAGUGAACGCAGGUGAGAGCUUCGGCGCAUCAUCGACCGAUCCUGAUGUUCUCGGACGGAUUUGAGUAAGAGCAUAUAGGGUUGGACCCGAAAGAAGGUGAACUAUGCGUGUAUAGGGUGAAGCCAGAGGAAACUCUGGUGGAGGCUCGCAGCGGUUCUGACGUGCAAAUCGAUCGUCAAAUAUGCGCAUGGGGCGAAAGACUAAUCU
rnacentral:rRNA from 1 species